rnacentral:snRNA from 1 species
AGAGUCAACGGGGGUGGUUUUCCCAGGGCAAGGCUCACCUAUUGCACUCCGGGUGGGCUGACCCCUGCGAUUUCCCCAAAUGUGGGAAACUCGACUGCAUAAUAUUGUGGUAGUGGGGGACUGCGUUCGCGCUAUCCCCUG